GCACUGGUCAUUCAGUGGUAGAAUCUUUGUCUUCCAUGCAGGAGAGCUGGGUUCGAUUCCCAGCCAGUGCA
rnacentral:tRNA from 1 species